GUGCCAGCAGCCGCGGUAAUACGGAGGGUGCAAGCGUUAAUCGGAAUUACUGGGCGUAAAGCGCACGCAGGCGGUUUGUUAAGUCAGAUGUGAAAUCCCCGGGCUCAACCUGGGAACUGCAUCUGAUACUGGCAAGCUUGAGUCUCGUAGAGGGGGGUAGAAUUCCAGGUGUAGCGGUGAAAUGCGUAGAGAUCUGGAGGAAUACCGGUGGCGAAGGCGGCCCCCUGGACGAAGACUGACGCUCAGGUGCGAAAGCGUGGGGAGCAAACAGGAUUAGGUACCCUGGUAGUCCACGCCGUAAACGAUGUCGACUUGGAGGUUGUGCCCUUGAGGCGUGGCUUCCGGAGCUAACGCGUUAAGUCGACCGCCUGGGGAGUACGGCCGCAAGGUUAAAACUCAAAUGAAUUGACGGGGGCCCGCACAAGCGGUGGAGCAUGUGGUUUAAUUCGAUGCAACGCGAAGAACCUUACCUGGUCUUGACAUCCACGGAAGUUUUCAGAGAUGAGAAUGUGCCUUCGGGAACCGUGAGACAGGUACUGCAUGGCUGUCGUCAGCUCGUGUUGUGAAAUGUUGGGUUAAGUCCCGCAACGAGCGCAACCCUUAUCCUUUGUUGCCAGCGGUCCGGCCGGGAACUCAAAGGAGACUGCCAGUGAUAAACUGGAGGAAGGUGGAGAUGACGUCAAGUCAUCAUGGCCCUUACGACCAGGGCUACACACGUGCUACAAUGGCGCAUACAAAGAGAAGCGACCUCGCGAGAGCAAGCGGACCUCAUAAAGUGCGUCGUAGUCCGGAUUGGAGUCUGCAACUCGACUCCAUGAAGUCGGAAUCGCUAGUAAUCGUGGAUCAGAAUGCCACGGUGAAUACGUUCCCGGGCCUUGUACACACCGCCCGU
rnacentral:rRNA from 1 species